rnacentral:rRNA from 1 species
GACGAACGCUGGCGGCGUGCCUAAUACAUGCAAGUAGAACGCUGAAGGAGGAGCUUGCUUCUCUGGAUGAGUUGCGAGCGGGUGAGUAACGCGUAGGUAACCUGCCUGGUAGCGGGGGAUAACUAUUGGAAACGAUAGCUAAUACCGCAUAAUAGUAGAUGUUGCAUGACAUUUGCUUAAAAGGUGCAAUUGCAUCACUACCAGAUGGACCUGCGUUGUAUUAGCUAGUUGGUGGGGUAACGGCUCACCAAGGCGACGAUACAUAGCCGACCUGAGAGGGUGAUCGGCCACACUGGGACUGAGACACGGCCCAGACUGCUACGGGAGGCAGCAGUAGGGAAACUUCGGCAAUGGACGGAAGUCUGACCGAGCAACGCCGCGUGAGUGAAGAAGGUUGUCGGAUCGUAAAGCUCUGUUGUAAGGGAAGAACGAGUGUGAGAGUGGAAAGUUCACACUGUGACGGUAGCUUACCAGAAAGGGACGGCUAACUACGUG